AUAAUCAUAACUCAUGACGGUAUCGACAGAAGAAGCACCGGCUAACUACGUGCCAGCAGCCGCGGUAAUACGUAGGGUGCGAGCGUUAAUCGGAAUUACUGGGCGUAAAGGGUGCGCAGGCGGUUCUGUAAGUCAGAUGUGAAAUCCCCGGGCUUAACCUGGGAACUGCGUUUGAAACUACAGGACUAGAGUGUGGCAGAGGGGGGUGGAAUUCCAUGUGUAGCAGUGAAAUGCGUAGAGAUAUGGAAGAACAUCGAUGGCGAAGGCAGCCCCCUGGGUUAACACUGACGCUCAUGCACGAAAGCGUGGGGAGCAAACAGGAUUAGAUACCCUGGUAGUCCACGCCCUAAAACUAUGUCAACUAGUUGUCGGGUCUUAUUAGACUUGGUAACGUAGCUAACGCGUGAAGUUGACCGCCUGGGGAGUACGGUCGCAAGAUU
rnacentral:rRNA from 1 species